ACGCUUGCCACUUUGUGGUUCAUGACUGGGGUGAAGUCGUAACAAGGUAGCGCUAGGGGAACCUGGCGCUGGAUCACCUCCUUA
rnacentral:rRNA from 1 species